GGCUGUUCUCUGUAAAACCAACACGUAACCUUGUUCCUUCUGCAAGCAACCAAGCCCAACACACGCUGGUAGUGUUGGUAGCUUCUACACUGGUAGAAGGGAAGAUAAAUCCCUUCAACGUGCUGAACUGCUGUGUAGAAUGAGCUCUGUUUUAAUCUCGUUCCUCUACGAUGCUCAGCUUUCCUAGCUUCUCCCCUGCCUAAGCACACACUUCUGUCCCUUGGCAUUAACCAUCAUGCACAGCGGGAUCAAAUCUGAGCUCUGUCUCCUCCUGCUUCUUUCCAGAAGGAUGAGACAAACAGCAGAAAACAACCAGCCUCCACAGCUAACUCGUUUGGGGUUGCUCCGGACGUGUGGAUGUUCCCUUCCAUGGCCCAGGCCAAGCUCGCUGAGCUGCUCCUCCUUUGUGCAGGGGAAGACCGGUGCAGUCUCUCUCGUCAUGUAGAUCUGAGGAUGACCAAAGCCUGUUGCCCCAAGCAUUGCUGAACCCGUCAAAAUGGUCGCUCAGAGGUAUUGCACCGGCACAUCGCACAGAAGAACUGUGUAACCUAAGUAGCAAGGGGAGAAGAAAGGGGAGCGGCUAACAUUCAUUACCUCCUCUAAACUGAUAGUCGUUGGCUUCUUGUCCCAUCCAAAUCCUGGCAAGCAGGAUAACAAAGAUUUAGUGAUGUUUACAACUGUGGUAGGGAUUGCUGGAUACAACCAGCCACCCAAGGCUGAGCACGCUCUCCGAUCCCUUUCGCAAUUCUAGAAAUACCCAGAAGAGCUCCGUGUUCUCUUGCUUUCAUUUCCUUACAUGAACCAUUUUCAAAUGCACGUUGUUAUAGGCUGACACAAGAUCUAGGGCCUAAAGCCACAGCCACAGAGGUGGACACUGGCCCCAGGGCCUGAAUCCAUAUCUACAGCCAGACAGGCCGGCACCAGCUCUGGGGCUUAAAGCCAAAGCCAGAGAAGCUGGCAAGGUCCCUGGGACGUAAGUCCACAGCCAGAGAGGCCGGCACCAGCCCUGUGGCCUAAAAAAAAGGACAGAGAAACUGGCACCAGCCUCGGGGCCUGGAACUACAGCCACAGCUGGAGAGGCCACUAGCAGCUUUGGACCUAAAGCCACAGCCACAGCCAGACAAACCAGCACGGACCCUGGGGCCUGAAGCCACAGGCUCAGCCUGAGAGACCGGCACCAGCUCUGGGGUCUAAAGCCACAAAAAAAGAGGCCAGCACUGAGCCCAGGCCCUAAAGCCACAGCCUGAGAGGCUGACGCCGGCCAUGGGGCUUAAAGCAAAAGCCACAGCCAGGCAGGCCAAAAAAGGCCCUGGGGACUAAAGGCACAGCUUGAAAGGCUUGAAACAGUGCAGGGGCUUAAAGCCACAGCCAAACUUAGAGAGGCCGGCACCUGAAGCCCCAACCAGCAAGGCCAGCACCGGCCCAAGGGCCUGAAGUCACAGCCAGAGAGGCCUACACCGGCCCCAGGGCCUAAAGCCCCAGCCCCAGUCUGAGAAACCAGCACCAGCCCCAAGGCCUGAGGCCACAGCCACACAGGCUGCCAUUGAUCCCAGGGCCUAAAGCCACAGCCCAAAAGGCCAGCACUGGCCCCGGGGCCUAAAGCCACAGCCAUGGCACAAGAGGCCAACACCAGCUUUGAAUAUAAAUCCACAGCCCAAGAGGCCUAUACCAGCCCGAGGCCUGAAGGUACAGCCACAGCCCGAGGGGGCUACAUCGGCCCUGAAGCCUAACGCCACAGCCAGACAGACCUGCACCAGCCCCGG
ensembl:lncRNA